UACGUAGGGUCCGAGCGUUAAUCGGAAUUACUGGGCGUAAAGCGUGCGCAGGCGGUUUUGUAAGCCAGAUGUGAAAGCCCCGGGCUUAACCUGGGAAUGGCAUUUGGGACUGCAAGGCUGGAGUACGGCAGAGGGAGGUGGAAUUCCAGGUGUAGCAGUGAAAUGCGUAGAUAUCUGGAGGAACACCGAUGGCGAAGGCAGCCUCCUGGGCUAGUACUGACGCUCAUGCACGAAAGCGUGGGGAGCAAACAGG
rnacentral:rRNA from 1 species